AAAGAAGAAAUUAAGGGCGCAUAGCGGAUGCCUAGGCUUUUAGAGGCGAAGAAAGACGUGAUAAGCUGCGAUAAGCUGUGGGGAUUAGCAAAUAUGAGUUGAUCCACAGAUUUCUGAAUGGGGCAACCCAGCAGGUUGAAGACCUGUUACUCCUUCGGGAGGGCAAACCCAGGGAACUGAAACAUCUAAGUACCUGGAGGAAGAGAAAACAAUAGUGAUUCCCUAAGUAGUGGCGAGCGAACAGGGAUUAGCCCAAACCAGUUUUGUUACGGCAAGACUGGGGUUGUAGGACUACAAUAUGAGAAGUAUAUUAGAAUGGAAUGAUCUGGAAAGUUCAACCAAAGAGAGUGAAAGUCUUGUACAUGAAUAAUAUAUCAUCUAGUAGUAUCCUGAGUAGGCGGGAGCCGGUGAAACUCCCGUUGAAUCCACCAGCACCAUCUGGUAAGGCUAAAUACUCCUAAAAGACCGAUAGUGAACAAGUACCGUGAGGGAAAGGUGAAAAGUACCCUGAAUAAGGGGGUGAAAAGUACCUGAAACUAUGC
rnacentral:rRNA from 1 species